CUGUGAAGAGGAAAGACUCAGUGCUCUGAGAGCUGCCCAUGAGAAAACACCAAGAAGAUAUGAUAUGUUUGGUAUUGGAGACAACAGUAUGGACCCCCUGCAAUAAGUUGACAACAGAUCAUGCUCUGUGUGUGGUGAAUGACUGUGUACUUACAAACUGUGUUUACUCAAAGCAUUGGAGACGGCAGACAAUCUGUUCCAGGAGCACCUUUGGGAGAAAAAAGGCAGAUGAAAAAGAGAACACGAUGUGAGCUCUGAAAAGAUGAGAGGCACACGAAAAAUGUGAACUGCUGAAUUUACUGUCUAGCUAUAAUGAGGAAAUCUGGAGCCAGUUUGGUGAGGAUAUCCCAAGUAUGAAAAUGCCAAGCUGGACAAGGAAAUAACUACUGCCCCUGCUGCCACAGCUCUUAUGCUUCCAGUGACAGUAUUUACUUUGUGUUACAUGUUUGUUUCAGAGCAGUGUUUGGACCCUUGGCUGUAAACACUCACAUCUUUUGCUGCUUGUCUGCUAUAGAAAUGUCUAUUGUCUGUGAGGGUGGCACCUCUGUGAAGCCAGGUCUUCCAAACAAUGAAGUUGAAUAAAAUUAAUUAUUCCAUGAGAUGCACUUGCCUGUAGGAAGUGAUGAGAAGAAGUGUCACCACUGCAUUGAACCAUGUGAGAACGAUAUAGAUGUCACACAUGGUUUUUCUUGUAUAAAUGUACCUUUUUAUUUAAACACCUGAGCAGAUAGAAAUGGCUAUAGCAUUUUCAUGACCAGGUUCCAAAUGUAAUGCAGUAUGAGUGUUGAUAUUAUAAAAAGCAUAAAUAAAGGAAAUUUAUGUGCUAAGUUCAAUUCUGAGUCUUAUAAAUAUUGCAAUAUUUUGCUAAUUACUUCUGUUGUGGCCAUAUAAUAACCACAUAAAAUUUAUGCUUCUCUAAAUGUGAGGUUACCAGAAAAGCUGUCACAGAGUCUUAACUAGUGUCAUAAAUAUUCCAUUGUAAUAUAUACAAUAAGAGAUCUUUCACUGCCUCUCCCCUGAAGGUAUAUUAUUCAAUUUUCAGAGUUAUAGCACAGUGAUAAAUUAGAGCUUAAUGUUGUUGUGCCACUAAGCCAGCCAAGACUUCUUAUAAACCACUGUCCAAAUGUUAAAAAUACAGAAAGCAGUCGCACUGGUGUGAUAUUGACUCUUUUUUUUCUUGCAUUACCUUGGUUGUU